rnacentral:lncRNA from 1 species
GUUGCAGUGUCGACAAAGGCUUCAACGAGGACGUCGAAGGAAUAAGUGGGGGAGAAUGUCACGGACAAACUUCUAAACAGGAUGUUUGAUGUGAUGCUUAUGUAUGUCCGUGUCUUUUGGCAUGUUCAUGCCUUGUACAGCAUGUAGAGGGGCGGCCGAAGGCUUAAUAGUCCCACUUUAGUUGGGUUGGUGGCCUCUUUAGGCUUGUAAAUAAAGGUUGUGUCAUGUGGACACGUGCGAGAGAUUUUCGGUCUGUAAUGGACCAUUUUACCCUUUGUUGUGCAACUGUUC